UUGUAGUCAUAUUGCUGUCUCAAAGAUUAAGCCAUGCAUGUCUAAGUAUAAGCAAUUAUACCGUGAAACUGCGAAUGGCUCAUUAAAUCAGUUAUCGUUUAUUUGAUAGUACCUUACUACUUGGAUAACCGUGGUAAUUCUAGAGCUAAUACAUGCUGAAAACCCCAACUUCGGGAGGGGUGUAUAUAUUAGAUAAAAAACCAACGCCCUUCGGGGCUUCUUGGUGAUUCAUGAUAUCUUUACGGAUCGCAUGGCCUUGCGCCGGCGACGGUUCAUUCAAAUUUCUGCCCUAUCAACUUUCGAUGGUAAGGUAUUGGCUUACCAUGGUUUCAACGGGUAACGGGGAAUUAGGGUUCGAUUCCGGAGAGGGAGCCUGAGAAACGGCUACCACAUCCAAGGAAGGCAGCAGGCGCGCAAAUUACCCAAUCCCGACACGGGGAGGUAGUGACAAUAAAUACUGAUACAGGGCUCUUUUGGGUCUUGUAAUUGGAAUGAGUACAAUUUAAACCUCUUAACGAGGAACAAUUGGAGGGCAAGUCUGGUGCCAGCAGCCGCGGUAAUUCCAGCUCCAAUAGCGUAUAUUAAAGUUGUUGCAGUUAAAAAGCUCGUAUUUGAACCUUGGGUCUGGCUGGCAG
rnacentral:rRNA from 1 species